AUUGAACGCUGGCGGCAGGCCUAAUACAUGCAAGUCGAACGAGUGGCGGACGGGUGAGGAAUGUCUGGGACACUGCCUGAUGGAGGGGGAUAACUACUGGACACGGUAGCUAAUACCGCAUACCAUCGGAUGUGCCCCGGUGGGAUUAGCUAGUAGGUGGGGUAAAGUCUCACCUAGGCGACGAUCCUUAGCUGGGCUGAGAGGAGAACCAGCCACACUGGAACUGAGACAGGGUCCAUACGCCUACGGGAGGCAGCAGUGGGGAAUAUUGGACAAUGGGCGCAAGCCUGAUGCAGCCAGGCCGCGUGUAUGAAGAAGGCCUUCGGGUUGUAAAGUACUUUCAGCGGGGAGGCGUUACCCGCAGAAGAAGCACCGGCUAACUCCGUGCCAGCAGCCGCGGUAAUUC
rnacentral:rRNA from 1 species